AAAUUGAAGAGUUUGAUCAUGGCUCAGAUUGAACGCUGGCGGCAGGCCUAACACAUGCAAGUCGAGCGGAAACGAGUUAUCUGAACCUUCGGGGAACGAUAACGGCGUCGAGCGGCGGACGGGUGAGUAAUGCCUAGGAAAUUGCCCUGAUGUGGGGGAUAACCAUUGGAAACGAUGGCUAAUACCGCAUGAUGCCUACGGGCCAAAGAGGGGGACCUUCGGGCCUCUCGCGUCAGGAUAUGCCUAGGUGGGAUUAGCUAGUUGGUGAGGUAAGGGCUCACCAAGGCGACGAUCCCUAGCUGGUCUGAGAGGAUGAUCAGCCACACUGGAACUGAGACACGGUCCAGACUCCUACGGGAGGCAGCAGUGGGGAAUAUUGCACAAUGGGCGCAAGCCUGAUGCAGCCAUGCCGCGUGUGUGAAGAAGGCCUUCGGGUUGUAAAGCACUUUCAGUCGUGAGGAAGGUAGUGUAGUUAAUAGCUGCAUUAUUUGACGUUAGCGACAGAAGAAGCACCGGCUAACUCCGUGCCAGCAGCCGCGGUAAUACGGAGGGUGCGAGCGUUAAUCGGAAUUACUGGGCGUAAAGCGCAUGCAGGUGGUUUGUUAAGUCAG
rnacentral:rRNA from 1 species